UUUUAUUUGGGUUCCAGCUCCAUCCAGACCACCUACCUUUGGAGUCAUAUGUUUCCACAGACAGUUAUAAGGUUUAUGUGCUCCAGUCAUCCCCAUUUCACCUUCUAGUCUUAUUUCCACCAGCCCUUCCAAUCCAUAUUGCCAGACAAGUGAGCAAGAGGACAUUGGCAAUCUUCACCAAAGGGAAAACUCCAAGACUCUGACAAUUUUAUGUUGUAUAUAUAUCUAGUACAAACUCUUGUCCUUGUAUGCUUUGUAAAUAUUUUUUAUACAUUAUUUCUUCAUAUCUAAGUCAUGUUAUUGUCACAUUGUUGAGAUUAAUUUUUAAAUGUUAUAAGUGUCACUAUAAUCUAAUUUUUAAAGAAUGAGAGGCAUUAUUUUUUAUAUUGUAAUCCAUUGGUAUAUGACAAUUUAUCAGUAUGCACUUGAAAGAUGUACACUGAAAAAUAAAUAAUGAAUUUAA